rnacentral:rRNA from 1 species
GAUGAGCGCUGGCGGUAUGCCUAACACAUGCAAGUCGUACGCCUCACUUCGGUGAGGAGUGGCGGACGGGUGAGUAACACGUUAGUACCCUGCCCCAAAGUGGGGAAUAACUGCCCGAAAGGGUAGCUAAUACCCCAUAGUCUCCGGUUUAUCCGGAGUAAAGAUUUAUCGCUUUGGGAGGGGCUUGCGUUUGAUUAGCUAGUUGGUGAGGGUAAUGGCCCACCAAGGCGACGAUCAAUAGCUGGAUCGAGAGGUUGACCAGCCACACUGGGACUGAGAUACGGCCCAGACUCCUACGGGAGGCAGCAGUGAGGAAUCUUCCACAAUGGGCGAAAGCCUGAUGGAGCAAUACCGCGUGCAGGAUGAAGCUUUUCGGAGUGUAAACUGCUUUUCUGAAGGAAGAUUAUGACGGUACUUCAGGAAUAAGGAUCGGCUAACUACGUG